rnacentral:lncRNA from 7 species
GGGUGAACCUCACCUCAUCCCCAGCGCUGGGUGCAGCGUCCGCCUAUGGCAGCUGGCUGUGCGCCCCCCCCGCACGGCCGGGACACCACGGGGACUCUGAGACCUCACCCAGGGGGAUAGAAAGGGGGCAGCACCCGGGAGAGCCCCCAGACCCCCAUGGGGCACUGCCCCCCCCAUCCCACUGCGCAGCGGGUGGGGGUCAAUGGGGUCAGCAGAGCAGAGGACGGAGCAGAGGACGGCACCGGGUGGGUGACGCUGUCCGGCAGCAGAGGGACGCAGAGGGGCUGCGGCCCCCCAGGAAGGGUCCCUCUGCAGGGAGCUUCGUGUCCCACCACCCCAACUGGGCUGAGCCCAACGAGGCCGUGGACUCCUUCGAGAUGGAAGAGGUGCUGAGCGACAGCGAUACCCCCAAAGACGAUGGUGAUGAUGGUGAUGAUGGUGAUGAUGAUGAAGAGGAAGGCAGCUGCUCCGUAAGGCUCCGCAGAAGUUUGAUGCUGUAUGGGCUCGGAGGGCACUCGGACAGCAGCGGCUUCGUGGAGGAGCCCCUCCCUGAGCAGACAGAGUGAGCCCACCCGGGGGUCCCCCACCCGCACCCCCACCCCAACUGCUGCUCCAGCACCGGAACGCACCGACGGGUGCAGGAAAGAUUGCACCGCUGCACUUCAGGCAAUGGAGCCCAUCCUCAGCCCAGGGCUGAGCACCGCGUGGACACUGUGUGUGUGUGUGUGUGUGUGUGUGUGCAGCGUGCAAAUGUGUGCACGAGUGUGUUG